rnacentral:lncRNA from 1 species
CGCUGGGCUCCUCCUACAGUAAUCUCGCAGGGUCUGCCUCCUGGGUCUGCCUCCUGCAGGUUCAUCCAGCUGGUUGUGAGUGGGGGUCUCCCUCCUGUUUAGGGCUGGGUGCAGGGGCAUGGGACACUUCUGGAUCCGUCACCCGUCAGCAGGCCCGAGGCUUCCCCAUGUCUCCGCUGCCACAAGCAGAGCUGACGGGACGUGUGAGGGCAGAUGUUGCCAAGAGAGCCUUUGGCUGCACACCCAGAACUGGGAUGGCUGCAACCCGGGGCAGAGCUCUUUGUAGCUCACAAGGACCCUCUGGAUUGUCCCCGAGUGGCUGUACCAUCAACGUUCUGGCAACAGUGGGCAAGGCUCCGUUCCGCCUCAGCCACAUAGCACUGCCUGUCUCUGGGGUGACGGCCACCCUGGCCACCCCCGCAGGUGGGAGCUGUGACCUGCUGUGGUUCUGAUUUGCAUUUCCCUGACAAUGACCUUCACGGAGCAGCUUUCAGACACCUGUUGGUCAUUUCCAUUUCUUCUUUGGACCAAUGUCUCUUUAGUUCCUUUGCCUAUUUUUAGUUAGGUUGUUUGGUUUUCUGCUAUUGAAUUAUAGGAGUCCUUUGCGCAUGUUGGAUAAGCAAUACGAUUGUGUCUCGGGUCAUAUGUUCUAAAUACAUAUCAUUUUCCUAGUACAUUUUGAAAUAAAUGCCUUCCUGUGAACACAAAACGUCUUGCCACCCCGGGAACCCUCCUCCCACUGACCUGCAGCAUCCAGGGUGGCCUCUGCUGCCCAGCCCUGGAUGCCCAGGCUUCUUCCAGUCCAGUUCAAGUCCAUGUGCUCCAGAAAGACCCCCAGGGCCUGGGCUGUGUGGAGUGGAAGGAGGUUGGGCCCCAGGCAGGCGCUGGCUCUCAGUCAGCACAGGGGAGAGAGGUGCCCAGGGGGCCGUUUGGGGUCUGGGUCCCUGUGAAAAUGAAUGGACUCCCCUUCCUCCCUCUCUCUGCCUUCCUCCUUCUCCUCUGCAGCCGCAUGAAGAUCCCAAAGAGGUGAAGAUGGUGCCCCUGGGGAACACUUGGGAAAUUUCACCCCCCCGUGAAGCCAGGGCUCCCCGGAAGAGCAACUUGGCCUCUGAGCUCAUUCCAACAGGGAGCUGGUCUCCAAAGGGGCCAGGGGCGAGCACGUGCGAGCCCCCCGUCCCAGAGCCAGAGCUCACUAGGAGGUUGGGGAAAUAGGCCUUCGUCUCCUUCAGGCUUUGCUGAGCCGAGCUGGGCGUCUUCUGUACCAGGACGGCAGGGGACCAUGGCUGUCACACGAGGUGAGUCGGGGGACUGGGGGAGAGCCAGGGCCAGUGGUGGGGUUGGGGGACAUCUGCCUUCAGGUGCAGGAGCUGGGUGGGGUCCUCUGGCAGUCCUGCUUGCUGAAGCAAGCUGCAGGUUGACACGAAGCCCGGUGUCCCUACUGCCUGUGACACCUCGGAUGUUAGUGAGGGAUCGGGGGCAUGGCCCGUAGGUGGUGACUGUCCCAGGCUGAGACCCAGGUGUCUUCGCGCUGCGCCCAGUAGUUAGCAGGCCCUGCUUACCUACCACGCUCUCAGGUGCGGGCGAGUCCAAGGGACAGAGCAGCAGGCCAGGGCUCUCGUCGGCCCUCUUCCUUGUGGCCAGUGUGACAGUAUGCUUGUCACCAGUGGACACAGUCCACAUGGUGCCACAGUGAAGCAUGUGAUAAAAUGAUGGGGUAAAGUUAGGUAGUAAUUAAGAUGAGUCAAUUAUACAUUUCUUGAAACUCUAAUUAAGACUCCUUUAAUGGAUGUCUCAUUCCCAUCAUUCUCAGGGCAUUGAUACCCACGAAAACCGUUUUGUGAAAACUCAGUGAUGCGUCAGCAAUUAUAUUUAAUUCUCAGCUGAAUGAACUUUAAUCAGCAGUGUUAUUACAGGACCACAGAGCAGAGUGCCAACCUCGCUGCGAGGGGACCACACUUUAUUUAUGGGGUCUCGGGGACCUCAUCGCCAAGGAGUUCAGACAAGCAAAGAAAUUUUUUAAAACCCGCCCUUGAAGAGGAAGAGGAGCCCUGGAGAAGGGAGUCCAGCUAAAGAAGCGCCCGCAGGCUGGGGACGGGGCUGCCUCCCAGUCCAGCUGACAGGACGCGGGGCCACUGCACGGAGGAUGUGGGAGCCUUUCCCGUGAGCUCUCCACAGGAGAAACACGGCGUGCGCAGUUAGGGGCGCAAACCCUACGACUUGAUGGGGUUUUGAGCAUUGAGCGCCCCUGUGUGAGCACCCGAGGUCCCCGGCUGGCUACGGGACACGGCCAGCACCUGUGGCCCUCAGCCAUUCCCACCCGGCUUCCCACCGUCUUCUGGUUUCCAGGGGGACCCCGCUGUUUGGCUCAUUUUCUUCUUAAACUUUUAUUUCACAGUGACCAGGAGGACACCCCCUUUCUGUCUGGCGUUUUGUCCUGAUGUCACCUCGAGGACGGCCGCCUUGCUCUGGGGGCAGCAGGUCACCCUUCCCACCGCAGCAUGAGCACCACUCUGCCCAUCCACCCUGUGUGGAUGGAAAUGGGAUCCUUCCCCACCUGGGGCCAUGUGCUGUGCCCACCCUGGGUCGUCGCUAGGUACCCGCAGCUCGGCCUCUCUCUGGGGGACCCUCCACAUGCCAGGCUUCAGGUGCUAACGCCCUGAGGACCGCCUGGGACCGUGGGAACUUAGUUCUGAAUCGCAAGCUCCUCCGAGGAGCGGCCCCGGGACUCCCACCUGGGUCCAUCACUCCUGCCUAGCGAGGGCCCCCUCACCGCCCCCCUCACAGCCUCCCUCACCGCCUCCUCCCGCCCUUCCUGCUUCUGUGGCUUCACUUUUGCUGGGGCUACUGCUGCCUCUCAGGGCAAAUCUGUGGCCUUAUAAGGACAAUUCCAAUUGUCCCUGGACCCUGUGGGUCAGGAAUUCAGAGCACAAGGGACAGCCUGUCUCCACUCCACAGUAUCUGGGGCCACCAACUGGAAGAUUCACAGCCGGAAGUGGUUGGCACUGGGACAAGAGUGGCAUCUCCACUUAGCUGUCUGGUGUCCAUCCAGGAGGACCCAGAGACCAGGACGGAUGGCCAGAGCCCAUCUGUGGCCUCUCUGCGUGGUGUGCCAGCCACGAGCCACCAGCUGAGUGCUUCAGGUAGCAGAGACAGGGUGCGUGGCUCUGUAGGAGCAGCCUGGCUGCCGGCUGCCUGGUGACGCACUGCAGCCAUCAGCCUGCUCUCGUUCCAGGGAGGAGAGCUAGACUCGCCCCCUAAAGAGGAGGUCACCCUAAGGAUGGGGGCCACUUCUGCCAGCUGCGUCUUUGGGAAACAGUCUGCCAUCCUGCAAUGCACGGCGCUGCCCUGCCGCCAUCUUCCUCGGGGCUCCAGGACGCCACGUCCCUCUGUAUCAUGGGUGCUGCUGGUGGUCGUCUCUCUGUGAGGAUGGCCCUGGCCGCACAGAUGUUGGUGGCACCAUAGGAGGAGCAGGUACUUAAGUUAGCUCAUGUCAAGUGAUUAGAACCAAGGCCACGGGCAGGGCCUUGGAGGCAGCACCCCCUGUAUGGGAGCCAGUCCAAGCCCCAGGGCUGUGGUGCUCUCGCCGACCACGGGGCACUGCGUCUGGGUGCUGUCGUAUGGGGUCCUUUGAAGGCAAGGUGCAUGGACCCAGUUGGCCUUUAACUUGAGUUGCGGGGAACGUGUUGCCAAUGCACCGGUCACUGCCAGGGUGUGGCUGGGACAGCUGGGGCGAGGAACCAGCAUGCCCAGGCUGGCUCUGCCCUGCAAAGGUGUGCAUCCGUGCACGUCACCUGCCGUGAGUCUGGGCGGCUCUUCACUCAGACCCCUUCGUCUCUGGUGGGGAUGCAGCUGUAGGAAGCCUCACUGGGCAGUGACUGGGGCUCCCACAACACUUACGUGCUCUGCCCAGCAGUGGCAGGGAUGUCCCCUACCCCUUGGCCAGAACCAGCAGCACAGUAGCCCCACCUGACUACAGGGGCACAGUAGGGCAUGGUCCCAUCAAGUAUCCAGAAGGAGGCCACAGCUGGAGGGUGAGGGUAGAGUCUGUCCAUCCCACACUCGGGAACGGGAGAAGCUAAUGACGUUCUGUGUCUAGUCUUCCUGUCUCUGUCUCCUGUGUUCACCGUGGCUGCUGGCUUCCUGCCAUCUGUCUUGGGCAUCUGCCUCUCUUUCAACUCACUAUUCACCUCUAACUGGUGAGUCUUAGAGGUCUCAAUGUCCUGCUUCACUUUUCUCGCCAGGUCAUGGUCACCUUUGGCCCCAUGUCCAGUUGGACCUGGUUGGGUGAUAGGGAGUCUCCAGGGAGCAGGGAACAGGGAUCUCAGAGGAGGUCCCAGGGAUUCACACUGUGGAUGCUCACUUCCCCCAACACCUACCAGUCUUCAUUAGCCCGUCGCGGGAAGACGGGGGGCAGGCUUAGCCUUGGUUCAGAAAGCUCCAAGAGCCACACAUGGAAGAAUUGAUCAGAGGUGGGUUUGGAGCCGUCAGGACCUGUGGUGGCCCGGUGGCUGCAGGACCUGCAGAAGGCAGUCUUUGUCUCUGGGCAGACCCCAGGCCCAGGGCGCAGCACCACAGAAGGCCGCGUGAGCCAGCGGCUGUGCUGUUUGUGUCUGCUGAUUGCUUCAUUUUGCUGGGCCCCACGCUGCCAGAACCCAGAGUGCUGUGUGCGGCCCCCGCGCCCCAUCAAUCACUUAUUCAUACAGUUUGAAGAUUAUAGCUGCUCAUUUGGUACUUCCAGUCCAACUUGUCACGGCGCGUCUCGCGGGAGACAUCCGCACAGCUGUAUGAACACCAUCGACUCCUUCUCCAUGGCAACAGACUGGGAAGACGGAAACCCCACAGGCUGCCGCUCAUGAGUGGGAUGCGCACUCCCACCCGAGCCCGCCACCCACAGGAGCAGGGGGCGUGGGGGUCUUCAUUAGUGCCUCUGCCUUCCAGCCAAAGCUCGUCAGCAUGGCUGACGGGUGGCAAGCCAUUUGUCAUUGGCAGGGCAGAUGCGCUCGGCUGUCGUUUCUAACAAGGCCCUCUUACCCUCCCUGGGUGAUAAGAUUCAAUCUAGGGACUGUCUGUUGGGAGCCUGUUAGUGUCAACCUCGGGUCUGGUGGCAAAUUUUAUUAAUCAUACUGUGUUUCCAGCCAACUCUGGCUCUCCGAAGAAGACGGGCCAUGACGGAGGGCCAGUUGGCAGGGGAAGGAGUGUGGCGGGAGGGGUCUCCCCGCGGUGCUCUGAUGGGCUCAGAGUCUGCAGGGAGGUGAGAGGGGCCCUGCCACACAGAGUCUCUACCGCUCAGCAGCCAGCCUCCUGGCACGGCAGGGGCGUGGCUGAGCUACCCACCAUUCACCUUCAGGUCGAGACGAUGCACCUGGGUAAGAGAUGUCCCUGAAGAGGCAUUUUGGACGCAGAGUGGAUAAAAGAGGACACGCCCAUGGGCAAUGUGUCAUGAUCCUCUUUGUCUCCCUGAAGCCUCCUCUAUCCAGGGAGCAAGCAUAAAUCCCUUCCUGUGGUCAUCUGCUCUGGGGGUCUCGGGGAGCCCCUGCCGGUGCCGAGCCCCUGGAUGCCUCCUGGUUCGAGCCCCGUUAGCCAGUCAGUGCUGAUGGCAGAUUAAGUAUCCUGAUGCUUCCUUGGGUGGGAAGACGCUUCUGGGUUUCCUUUCACUCCAGUGGGAAAGCUUCAUUCUUUGGGCAGAAGGCUCCUGGUGUCCCCGAAGUUGAUGUUCUAUUCUGACUCAGCCCAGUGCAGAAGUUGCCAGGGAGGCCGGCGGCUCCUUGAGGCCCGUCCACCAGCUCCGAUCCAUUAUUAAUCACUGUAAAUCUGGAAUAAUCUCUACAAACAUAUUUUGCUCCCUACAAAUAUAUUUGUGCCAACCUUCCCUAAUAAAUC